rnacentral:rRNA from 1 species
ACGGAAGGCAGCAGUGAGGAAUAUUGGUCAAUGGACGCAAGUCUGAACCAGCCAUGCCGCGUGCAGGAAUAAGGCCCUAUGGGUCGUAAACUGCUUUUGUGGUGGAGCAAUAAGUCGUACGUGUACGGCGAUGAGAGUACAUCACGAAUAAGCAUCGGCUAACUCCGUGCCAGCAGUCGCGGUAAUACGGAGGAUGCAAGCGUUAUCCGGAUUUAUUGGGUUUAAAGGGUGCGUAGGCUGUGGUCCAAGUCAGGGGUGAAAGCCCGGAGCUCAACUCCGGAACUGCCUUUGAUACUGGAUUGCUGGAAUACGGAUGCCGUGGGAGGAAUGAGUAGUGUAGCGGUGAAAUGCAUAGAUAUUACUCAGAACACCGAUUGCGAAGGCAUCUCACGAAUCCGUCAUUGACGCUGAGGCACGAAAGCGUGGGGAUCAAACAGGAUUAGAUACCCUGGUA